UACGUAGGCAGCAAGCGUUGUUCGGAGUUACUGGGCGUAAAGAGUGCGUAGGUGGUGCCCUAAGUCUGUUGUGAAAUCUCCUGGCUUAACUGGGAGGGUGCGGUGGAAACUGGGGUGCUUGAGUGUGGGAGAGGUAAGCGGAAUUCCUGGUGUAGCGGUGAAAUGCGUAGAUAUCAGGAGGAACACCGGUGGUGUAGACGGCUUACUGGACCACGACUGACACUGAGGCACGAAAGCGUGGGUAGCAAACAGG
rnacentral:rRNA from 1 species